CCCAGCGCUCACGCGCUGGGCUACCAACUGGCGCCACUACGUGGCU
rnacentral:sRNA from 21 species